GGCAGCGUCGCCUAAUGGUAAUGGCGAGAGUCUUAAAAACUCUGUCUUAGCGGACUUCUGGGUUCAAUCCCCAGCGCUGCCG
rnacentral:tRNA from 1 species